rnacentral:rRNA from 1 species
UGCAGUCGAACGGUGAAGCCAAGCUUGCUUGGUGGAUCAGUGGCGAACGGGUGAGUAACACGUGAGCAACCUGCCCUGGACUCUGGGAUAAGCGCUGGAAACGGCGUCUAAUACUGGAUAUGAGCUCUCAUCGCAUGGUGGGGGUUGGAAAGAUUUUUCGGUCUGGGAUGGGCUCGCGGCCUAUCAGCUUGUUGGUGAGGUAAUGGCUCACCAAGGCGUCGACGGGUAGCCGGCCUGAGAGGGUGACCGGCCACACUGGGACUGAGACACGGCCCAGACUCCUACGGGAGGCAGCAGUGGGGAAUAUUGCACAAUGGGCGGAAGCCUGAUGCAGCAACGCCGCGUGAGGGAUGACGGCCUUCGGGUUGUAAACCUCUUUUAGCAGGGAAGAAGCGAGAGUGACGGUACCUGCAGAAAAAGCGCCGGCUAACUACGUGCCAGCAGCCGCGGUAAUACGUAGGGCGCAAGCGUUAUCCGGAAUUAUUGGGCGUAAAGAGCUCGUAGGCGGUUUGUCGCGUCUGCUGUGAAAUCCCGAGGCUCAACCUCGGGCCUGCAGUGGGUACGGGCAGACUAGAGUGCGGUAGGGGAGAUUGGAAUUCCUGGUGUAGCGGUGGAAUGCGCAGAUAUCAGGAGGAACACCGAUGGCGAAGGCAGAUCUCUGGGCCGUAACUGACGCUGAGGAGCGAAAGGGUGGGGAGCAAACAGGCUUAGAUACCCUGGUAGUCCACCCCGUAAACGUUGGGAACUAGUUGUGGGGACCAUUCCACGGUUUCCGUGACGCAGCUAACGCAUUAAGUUCCCCGCCUGGGGAGUACGGCCGCAAGGCUAAAACUCAAAGGAAUUGACGGGGACCCGCACAAGCGGCGGAGCAUGCGGAUUAAUUCGAUGCAACGCGAAGAACCUUACCAAGGCUUGACAUACACCAGAACACCGUAGAAAUACGGGACUCUUUGGACACUGGUGAACAGGUGGUGCAUGGUUGUCGUCAGCUCGUGUCGUGAGAUGUUGGGUUAAGUCCCGCAACGAGCGCAACCCUCGUUCUAUGUUGCCAGCACGUAAUGGUGGGAACUCAUGGGAUACUGCCGGGGUCAACUCGGAGGAAGGUGGGGAUGACGUCAAAUCAUCAUGCCCCUUAUGUCUUGGGCUUCACGCAUGCUACAAUGGCCGGUACAAAGGGCUGCAAUACCGUGAGGUGGAGCGAAUCCCAAAAAGCCGGUCCCAGUUCGGAUUGAGGUCUGCAACUCGACCUCAUGAAGUCGGAGUCGCUAGUAAUCGCAGAUCAGCAACGCUGCGGUGAAUACGUUCCCGGGUCUUGUACACACCGCCCGUCAAGUCAUGAAAGUCGGUAACACCUGAAGCCGGU